GACGAACCGUGCGAACGUUAUUCGGAAUCACUGGGCUUAAAGCGCGUGUAGGCGGGACGGCACGUCGGUCGCUGAAAUCCCCCGGCUCAACCGGGGAACGGGCGCCGAUACGACCGUCCUGGAGGGACGUAGGGGGACCUGGAACUUCCGGUGGAGCGGUGAAAUGCGUUGAGAUCGGAAGGAACGCCCGCGGCGAAAGCGAGGUCCUGGACGUCUUCUGACGCUGAGACGCGAAAGCCAGGGGAGCGAACGGG
rnacentral:rRNA from 1 species